GACGAACGCUGGCGGCGUGCUUAACACAUGCAAGUCGAACGGAAAGGCCUGCUUUCCCUUGUGGAUUGCGGGUACUCGAGUGGCGAACGGGUGAGUAACACGUGAGUGAUCUGCCCCCAACUUGGGUAUAAGCCUGGGAAACUGGGUCUAAUUCCCGAUAGGACUGCAGGGUGGUGCCUGUGGUGGAAAACGAUUUUCUAGUGGUUGGGGAUGAGCUCGCGGCCUAUCAGCUUGUUGGUGGGGUAAUGGCCUACCAAGGCGGCGACGGGUAGCCGGCCUGAGAGGGUGGACGGCAACAUUGGGACUGAGAUACGGCCCAGACGCCUACGGGAGGCAGCAGUGGGGAAUAUUGCACAAUGGGCGGAAGCCUGAUGCAGCGACGCCGCGUGGGGGAUGACGGCCUUCGGGUUGUAAACUCCUUUCGACCGCGAGGAAGCCACCUGGUUGGAAGGGUGGUGACGGUAGUGGUAGAAGAAGCACCGGCUAACUACGUG
rnacentral:rRNA from 1 species